rnacentral:rRNA from 1 species
CCUACGGGUGGCAGCAGUGAGGAAUAUUGGUCAAUGGGCGCGAGCCUGAACCAGCCAAGUAGCGUGAGGGAAGACUGCCCUACGUGUUGUAAACUUCUUUUAUAAGGGAAUAAAGUGAGGCACGUGUGCCUUUUUGUAUGUACUUUAUGAAUAAGGAUCGGCUAACUCCGUGCCAGCAGCCGCGGUAAUACGGAGGAUCCGAGCGUUAUCCGGAUUUAUUGGGUUUAAAGGGAGCGUAGAUGGGGUGUUAAGUCAGUUGUGAAAGUUUGCGGCCCAACCGCAAAAGUGCAAUUGAUACUGGCAGUCUGGAGUACAGGUGAGGUAGGCGGAAUUCGUGGUGUAGCGGUGAAAUGCUUAGAUAUCACGAAGAACGCCGAUGGCGAAGGCAGCGUACUAAACUGCCACUGACAUUGAGGCUCGAAAGUGUGGGUAUCAAACAGGAUUAGAUACCCGAGUAGUC